rnacentral:rRNA from 1 species
UCGGCCGGGGGUUUAUUAGAUAAAUAAUUAAUAAAAAUAGAAAAGUACUAAGGUUUUGUUAACUGUAAAGGUUUUGUUAAAAUUAUUAUAAAGCUAUAUUUAGUUUAUUUACUUACUGCAUAACGGCUCAGCAAAGCAUGUGCUGAUUGGGCGUUUCCCCGAAGAGUGAGGAGCUGAGAUGGUUUUGCUAAGAGCCCACUGGUUAGUGUUGCAUAACUAUCAGGAAAAAUCAUUCCAGUGGCUACAUACCUUUCGCAUCAUUUGAUAGCUGGUUUCUGGGGAUUCUAUAUGUGUAGGACUAAGUGUAUAACACUUGUGGUGGUUGCAGGGGAGAAGCUCUGUAAUUUGUUUAAGAAUUUAUUUAAGGGGACAAUAAAAGUAGGCUUUGUAGCAGCCGCCUUAUGGCAACGCGUGACAGCUGUUGUAUUUCCGUAAAUAUAUUUUUUGUUCUGAUUUUGUUACUUGGACAUGUGUUUUAAUUUUUUGGCACGCUGACUCUGCUGAGAUUAGUAUUUUUUUGUUAUAAAGUGUUUAGUUUUCUGAGAAAUGCAUUUGUAGUUUGUUAAAAUAUUAUAUCGGCGGAAGGAACUCGGCAAAUAUUUAUCUCGACUGUUUACCAAAAACACUGCCUCAUGAAAACUAGAAUAUGAGGUCAGUCCUGCCCAGUGGCUUGCGAGUUAAACGGCCGCAGUAAACAUGACUGUGCUAAGGUAGCGUGAUUAGUUGCCCUUUAAUUGGGGGCGUGACGAAUGGAUUUACGAGGGUUAAGCUGUCUCCUGUCGAGCAAAUGAAAUUGGGCCAUAGGUGAAAAUACCUGUAUGUGAACACAAGACAAGAAGACCCCGUAGAGCUUUGUUUAAAGCUAGGCGACAGGCGUUCUGUUUAGGGCGCCCGUCGGACUAAUAAAAACUUAACUGGGGUGGUUGAGGAAAAGCUAAACUUCUUUUCUCUAGUAGACGGCGAUAUGCCACGGAGGAUCUAUAGGGAAACAAUUUGUUCUAAUAUAGUCAAAAGAAAAGCUACCUCGGGGGUAACAGACUAAUUUUUCCUAAGAGUUCACAUUGACGGAAAAGUUUGGCACAUCGAUGUUGGCUUAGGAGAUCCCGUGGGUCAGUAGCAGCCUGCAAUGGUGGGUUUGUUCAACCUUUAAACUCCUACAUGAGCUGAGUUCAGACCGGCGUGAGUUAGGUCAGUUUCUAUCUGUGUUAAAAUUUUUGAUUUAUAUGUACGAAAGGACCGUGAUUUCAAUAUUAUAUAUGUUGUUUUGAUUUUGUCUAAUGGGUGUUUAAGGGGGUUUGUUAAUAUACUAUUAUGUGUUAGUUUUCUUUAUGUGUUUUACAGUGUUAGUCAUUUUGCUUAUUUUAAGGCUUAUAAAAAAGAAAAAAGUACCGA